CGUAGGUGGCGGUAUGCACCUAUGAAGUUGCUUCGCAACCCGCCAUUAAAACUCUAAAGAAGAAGGUGCUGUGCACGGGCUCAUUUGACUACGCAUAGUACUGUAUUAGAGGUAAAAAAAUUAUAUAAAUACUGUUCGGCUUCUCGCACAAACCGAUCGUUUCGUUUCUUAGGAUAUCAAUGUGUCGUCACGAGCGGCAGGGUUUAAUUUGGAUUUGUCUGUGCAUGUUUUUACUGUCUGAGAUUUUGUUACUAUUCACAUGCAUACAGACUGAAACGGUUGGAGUUUCUACAUUUGUGUUGUACUGAAGAAACAAAAUCACAUACAUCUUGGAUGACCUCGGGACCCUUUUGCCAGUAUGAAGCCGAUUUCAACGGUAACUGCAGAAAGCGUCAGCACGCUCAGCUCAUCACUGGAGUAACGUCUGUACAACGGGUGAGAUAAAACUCAACGCCUGACUGAAUCAUCCAUUCCCUUUUCGAUCCUACGCCAUACGUUAAACUUGAGGUAAUCUUGCUUUUGCUGUUCUAAAAUAAACACUGCUCUUAGCACACCCCACCCUUACAUGGCACACAAGUAUAUGACACACAACACAGGUCUUCUCAGGAGGCUGUGCCUACAGAGAGCAGCAGUUGCAGACUUCACCCCAGACCCAACACAUUUUGGGCUCCCACUUUCAACUAUUGAGGAGCUACAAUGUUUGUAGGAGACAUUAAAUAAUCCAGAUGAGAAGAAGAAUUUGACUGUUUUUCCUGGAAUGGUCGGAGACAAGACUCUUAAAGACACCGUGGGGUGGGUCCUGAAAAAAACAAGGAACUCUUCGUGGUGAGACUCAUCAAUUGAAGUGGGGUCAACUGAACGCCUGCAUUCAAAGGGCUCACUUUGAAAAGUGUGGUUUUGGAUGCAGUCCACCGGAAUGCCCUGACCAAAGAUAACACAGAAAAGGAGAUAGAGCUCCUCAUCACCAGGUGGUCGGUGCUAGCAUAUGACAGGGAUGGUGGCCGAAUCCAGACAAUAGACAGACAAUGAAUUAAAAUGUUUUAAUUUUAAAAAUGUUGAUUUUUGGAAAAUUCGUAUUUGAACUGAUUGUGUGUGUGUGUGUGUGUGUGUGUGUGUGUGUGUGUGUGUGUGUGUGUGUGUGUGUGUGUGUGUGUGCACCUGGUAAUUAUCACGUUGUGUCCCCACAAAGAUAGGAAUACCAGUAUUUUUGUGACCUUGUGUCCCCAUGAGGAAACAAGCUUAUAAAUCAAACAAAAUGAUGUUUCUUGUAAAUGUGAAGUAGGAGAAGGGUUUCUGUGAUGGUUGGGUUUAGGGAAUGGGGUAGGUAAGGGGAAUAAAAUAUACAGUUUGUAUGGUAUAAAAUGCAUUACGUCUAUGGAAUGUCCCAACAAAACAUGGAAACCUGUUUGUGUGUA